GUGUGGGUAGAGUCCAGUGUGUGGGUAGAGUCCAGUGUGUGGGUAGAGUCCAGUGUGUGGGUAGAGUCCAGUGUGUGGGUAGAGUCCUGUGUGUGGAUAGAGUCCAGUGUGUGGGUAGAGUCCAGUGUGUGGGUAGAGUCCAGUGUGUGUGGGUAGAGUCCAGUGUGUGGGUAGAGUCCAGUGUGUGUGUAGAGUCCAGUGUGUGGGUAGAUCCAGUGUGUGGGUAGAGUCCAGUGUGUGGGUAGAGUCCUGUGUGUGGGUAGAGUCCAGUGUGUGGGUAGAGUCCAGUGUGUGGGUAGAGUCCAGUGUGUGGGUAGAGUCCAGUGUGUGGGUAGAGUCCAGUGUGUGGGUAGAGUCCAGUGUGUGGGUAGAGUCCAGUGUGUGGGUAGAGUCCAGUGUGUGGAUAGAGUCCAGUGUGUGGGUAGAGUCCAGUGUGUGGGUAGAGUCCAGUGUGUGGGUAGAGUCCAGUGUGUGGGUAGAGUCCAGUGUGUGGGUAGAGUCCAGUGUGUGGGUAGAGUCCAGUGUGUGGGUAGAGUCCAGUGUGUGGGUAGAGUCCAGUGUGUGGGUAGAGUCGAGUGUGUGAAUAGAGUCCAGUGUGUGGGUAGAGUCCAGUGUGUGGGUAGAGUCCAGUGUGUGGGUAGAGUCCAGUGUGUUGGUAGAGUCCAGUGUGUGGGUAGAGUCCAGUGUGUGGGUAGAGUCCAGUGUGUGAGUAGAGU
rnacentral:lncRNA from 1 species